rnacentral:misc_RNA from 1 species
AAGUCGUAACAAGGUUUCCGUAGGUGAACCUGCGGAAGGAUCAUUAACAAAAAGAAGUAAGAGGGUUUUUUAAACCCUUUUUCGACACCUGUGCACAUAUAUAUUAUUAUAACUUUUUAAACAAAAAUUAUAUACAACUUUUAACAAUGGAUCUCUUGGCUCUU